UACGUAGGGUGCAAGCGUUAAUCGGAAUUACUGGGCGUAAAGGGCUCGUAGGUGGCCAACUAAGUCAGACGUGAAAUCCCUCGGCUUAACCGGGGAACUGCAUCUGAUACUGGCUGUCUUGAGUUCGGGAGAGGUGAGUGGAAUGCCGAGUGUAGAGGUGAAAUUCGUAGAUAUUCGGCGGAACACCAGUGGCGAAGGCGACUCACUGGCCCGAUACUGACGCUGAGGCGCGAAAGCGUGGGGAGCAAACAGG
rnacentral:rRNA from 1 species